GUCAAUCAGUUUCAUGUUUGACUUUUGACAAUUUACUCAAAAGCCGCUGGAUCCCACUAACCAUAUAUAGGCCUCUGGCUGUAAAUAUCUGUCUACGUUGGCUUUUUCUCUCUUGCCAUAUGAGAUGAUUUUUUGGUCUCUUUUUGGACAUCAAUACACAGAAUUUCACAUGAUAUGUUCAUAAUACAUCAAUCUCACCCAUCAAACAGAAACAAAGAGUUUGGAAUGUAAAGUGGGCCUCAACUUUAACACUUCAAGCCCAUUCCAGCACAACAAGUAACCUGCACAAAAACAAAGAAACGUUAGUUUCCUAUUCUCUGGAAAAGGUCGGUUAAUAGUUUCUCAAAGUCAAAAGGAAAAUAUACAAAGUCAUACAGGAAAAGGAAUAUGUGAUCUGCUAUAUAAGAAGGCCAUAGGUGAAGGUUACAAUCAUCCGAUACAAAGCAAAUAACAAAGGCAUAGAGAGAGAUCAAGAGCAUAGCAAAUAAGUUCUUAGAGUUCUUAGUUUGGUUAUCACACUUGUGAUCUCUAUUAUUGUUAUUGUGAAACUUCUUUGAGAUAUUAAAUAAGAAUACGUUUGAUUCAUAAAGUUAUUCCAAAGCACAAGUAGGAUUGAAUUCCUAACAAGUGGUAUCAGAGCAAUCCAGGUUAGAUUGCAGGUGCUUAAGGGAUGGGGAAAACUAGGAUCGAAAUUGAUAGGUUCGAAGGAACCGGAGAUUUCUCGCUGUGGAAAGUUCGUAUGAUGGCUCACUUUGGAGUCCUAGGGCUAAAGGACAUUCUAACUGAUGAGACCCUUCUGUUGGAUCCGCCAAAAGAGGAAGCAGAAGGAGAUACGAAAGUCACAGGAGAUGGAACUACGGAAUCAAGCUCAAAGAUUGAUCCCGAUAAACUUGAAAAGUCGGAGAAGGCCAAAGACCUCAUCAUCGUCAACGUAGGUAACCAAGUUCUACGGAAGAUCAGCCAUUGUGAAACCGCUGCUGCAAUGUGGACCGCAUUAAACACGCUGUACACAGAAACCUCUUUGCCGAAUCGUAUCUACUUACAACAUAAGUUCUACACGUUCAAGAUGAAUGAUUCUAAGGACAUAGAUGCAAACGUUGAUGAUUUUCUAAAGUUAGUAGCAGACCUAAGUAACUUGAACGUGGAUGUCUCGGAAGAAGUUCAAGCUAUCCUGUUACUAAACUCAAUGCCGCGUAUGUAUGAUCAUCUUAAGGAAACUCUCAAAUAUGGCAGAGACACUCUCAAGAUCAAUGAAGUGACAGGUGCCGAAAGGUCAAAGGAACGAGAGUUACUUGAAAGUGGAAAGCUUUCAAAAUCACAAGAUGAAGGACUAUACAUGGAAGACAGGGGAAGAUCAUCUAAUAAAGGAGGAAACCGAAACGGUAAAGGCAGAUCUAAAAGCAGGCAUGGGCGAUCUAAAUCAAAGCCAAGAUACGAUAAGAAUAACAAAGGAUGCUGGACAUGCGGGAAGGAAGGACAUUGGAAGCGGGAAUGUCCUGAAAAGAAAAUGCAUAGAGCUGCUAAUGUAGCUGAAGAGCCUAUGCAGCCAUUUGUACUAACAGUUAGUACACACGACGCCGGUUCAGAAUGGGUCAUGGAUUCUGGUUGUUCUUUCAAUAUGACACCCAACAAAGACGUUCUAUUUGACCUAGUCGAAUUUCAAGGAGGCAAAGUUUUGAUGGCAAACAACACUCACUGCGACGUCAAAGGGAUUGGCAAGAUAAGGAUCGUGAGACCCGACGGAACCGUGGUUAUUCUUACAGAUGUAAGAUAUAUGCCUAAUAUGAGCAGGAAUCUAAUAUCCUACGGGAUGCUAGAAUGAGCAGGUUGCAAAUACGAAGGAUAAAACUUCUUAAUACGUUUCUUCAAAGAUGGGAAAGAGAUUUUAUCCGGUAAGUACCAUGAAGGAUUGUAUUACUUGCAAGGAACAAUUAUGAAAGAGGAAGCGAAUGUGUCAAGGGCAGAAAUUGACAAGACAAAGAUAUGGCACUCACGUCUGUGACAUAUGAGCUUGAAGAAUCUGAAUGUGCUCGUGAAAGAUGGAUACUUGUCUAAUAAAGAAGUGGAUAAACUAGAGUUUUGUGAGACCUGUGUUCUAGGAAAGUCUCACAAACAAAGUUUUCAAACGGCUAAACACACUUCAAAAGGCGUUUUGGAGUACAUACAUUCUGAUCUAUGGGGCGCGCCAUCAAGUCCUGAGAGUCUAGGAGGAUGCAAGUACUUUAUAAGCUUCAUAGAUGAUUAUUCUCGAAAGGUUUGGAUUUAUUUCCUAAAAUCUAAAGAUGAAGCUUUCAGCAAAUUCAAAGAAUGGAAGGAAGCCGUGGAGAACAGCACAGGGAAGAAAAUCAAGUGUCUUAGAACAGACAACGGGUUAGAGUUUUGCAAUAAACAGUUUGACAAACUAUGCAAAGAUUCUGGUAUCAAAAGACACAAGACUUGUCCAUACACGCCACAACAAAACGGUGUGUCUGAAAGAAUGAACAGGACAAUCAUGGAGAAGGUGAGAUGCAUGCUCGCAGAAUCUGGAUUAGGCAAAGACUUCUGGGCUGAAGCUGCAUCAACAGCGGUCUACAUUAUUAACCGAUCACCAAGUUCUGCCAUUGAUUACCGUUUACCAGAAGAAAUAUGGUCAGGUGUAAAACCUGAGUUGAAUCACUUAAGGAGUUUCUGCUGAUCUGCCUAUGUUCAUACGAUUCAGGGAAAGACAAGUCCUAGGGCCGUAAAAGGCGUCUUCGUAGGUUACCCAUUCGGGGUAAAAGGUUAUCGAGUGUGGCUGUCUGAAGAGAGAAUAUGUGUCACUAGUAGGAACAUAGUGUUUAAUGAGGAAGAGAUGUUUAAGCACACAGUGACCCAGCGAGAAGAUGUAGAUUUAGAAAAGAAGAAAAAGAAAGUGACGUUUAAGGAAAACCUAAUAGAUGGCCCUACACUACCUACGACUACAACCGAAGAACCAUUGGUUCAAGGUGGAGCUACUGAAACAGUAGAAUCAGAAAGCUCAUAAGAAACCAGUUCUGUAGAAGAAGAUAAAGACUCAGAAGCAGAACCGGAGCUCGAGGGAUAUAUGCUCGCACGAGACAGAGCGCGAAGACAAAUCAGACCUCCCUCUAGGUAUGAAGAUACUGAUUUUGCGGCUUAUGCUUUAGCCGCAUCUGAAGAGAUAGAAAUCGACGAGCCAAAGUCAUUUAAAGAAGCUAUGAUGAGCAAGAAAAGCAAGUUUUGGAAGAACGCUGCCGGAGAUGAGAUGGACUCUCUUCAAAGAGCUGGCACAUGGAUAUUGAUUGAAAACCCGAGAAUGCAAAAGUUAUAGGCAGCAAAUGGAUCUUCAAGUUGAAGCCUGGAAUACCCGGAGUUGAAGAACCAAGGUAUAAAGGAAGAUUGGUGGCGCAUGGAUUUUCUCAAAAGGAGGGGAUCGACUACAAUGAAGUGUUUUCACCUGUAGUGAAGCAUGUGUCGAUCAGAUUGAUGUUAUCUCUUGUGGUUAAUAAAGAUUAUGAGCUGGAGCAGAUGGACGUUAAAACAACUUUUCUUCAUGGAGAUUUGGAAGAAAGAAUCUUAAUGAAUCAGCCAGAAGGAUUCAUAAAGAAAGGAGAUGAAAAUAAAGUCUGUUUACUAAAGAAGUCUUUGUAUGGAUUGAAACAAUCACCAAGGCAAUGGAAUCUCAAGUUUGAUUGUUUCAUGAAGAGCCAGCGGUUUGUAAGAAGCAAGGAAGAUCCUUGUGUUUACAUGAGAAACGUGAACACAGAACAAGCCGUGUACUUACUUCUAUACGUCGACGACAUGCUCAUAGCUUCGGGAGAUAAACAAGAAAUCAGAAGCGUCAAAGAGAGUUUAAGCAAAGAGUUUGAGAUGAAAGAUUUGGGAAAAGCUUCAAGAAUAUUAGGAAUGGACAUCAUAAGAGACAGAAAGAAGGGAAUUUUAAAACUGUCUCAAGAGAACUACUUGGAGAAGGUUCGGAAAUCAUUCAAUAUGACUGAAGCCAAGGCUGUGAAUACGCCUACCUUAACUCAAUUUAAACUGAAGAGUCUUACGAAAGAUCAAAAAGAAGAAGAAGGAAGCUUCAUGGCGGAUAUACCGUACGCAAGCGCGGUUGGUAGUAUAAUGUACGCCAUGGUCGGUUCAAGACCUGACUUAGGCUAUGCAGUUGGACUCAUUAGCCGUUUCAUGUCAGAACCGGGAAGAGAGCAUUGGCUUGCAGCAAAAUGGGUUUUACGAUAUCUUAAGGGUGCUACAAGAAGGUGUCUAACGUUUACUAAGCACUCAGAGUUUAGUGUUCAAGGAUUCUGUGACUCGGAUUAUGCUACUGACCUUGACCGAAGAAGAUCAGUUACAGGAUUCGUGUUUCAAGUUUGGGGAAACACGGUUAGCUGGAAAUCAAGUCUACAAGACGUGGUAGCUCUUUCAACGACUGAAGCAGAGUACAUGGCUCUUACUGCAGCCGCGAAAGAAGCUAUAUGGUUAAGAAGACUAUGUGGAGAGUUGGGGUUUGAACAAGAAAGUGUUAAGAUUCACUGCGAUUCACAAAGUGCUAUAGCCCUAGCAAAGAAUCAUGUUCAUCACGAAAGAACUAAACACAUAGACACUAAAUACCACUUCAUAAGAGACGUUGUAGCAGAAGGCAAGGUUCACCUAUCUAAGAUCCAUACUAGCAAGAAUCCUGCAGAUUUUCUAACUAAAGCCUUACCCGGGCCUAAGUUUGAUCUCUGCUGUGAUCUCCUCAACAUCAACGAGUAAAAACCGAAGAACAUCGCAGGUAACUCUAUUAUCGAAGAUGUCUCGCAAAAGGAAGAAAUAAUGAGUUAAUAACUCCGGAUUAUUUCUUAAAGCGAUAAUGGGAAGGCUUAGGAGAAGCAAAAGGUUACCUGCAGGGACGUUGUGGAAGCGAGGCACAUGGUACUUAGCUCAAGGUGGAGAAGCUAAGGGAAAUCAAACGGAGUUAGUAAAGGAUGAUUGAAGUCGAUGAAGAAAAGUAGACUUCGGAAAAAGAUAUACCUGAGAGAACGUCUUAAACGGCUGUGGCAGCUGAAGGGAGACGAGUAUCUGCAUUGGCAAAAGAGAACACAGAUCACCAGACAAGAUAAACAUGUCUUAAACAGCUUAAAGAAAAGUGAGAGACUUUACAGAGAAGCUGAAGGGAGACAGGUUUAUUGAUAGAACGGAGGAAGCUCUAGAGAGUCGCCGGUUACGUUCUAAGGAGUAUACGUGAUGUGUUUGAUCACUGAAGUUCUAGCUGUGACAUUAAAGAGGAGGUUAAUACAUGAAACUCAAGUGAAUCUAAUUGGAAAGAGGAUCCAAGGAAGAUUAAUCAACUAUCAUCACCAAGAAGAAAUUCGAGAUUCAAAAUCAUCAAGGAAAAAGAAUUCGCGAGCUUUUUCAGAUGAAGAAUCUUACCGGGUGAUGCUUAGAUGGUGGGAGUUUUCUGAAGAUCGAGCUGAAGAUCUGGGGAAAAAUCGAUCUACCGGCAAGGAGUCGAAGCGAGAGAGAGUGGUGAGGCUGUAGCAGCGUACGAGCUACACCGAUUCAUCGGAAAAAUGACAGGAGAAGUCACCGGUGUGUGACGCCAUCAACGUCGCGAGAUUUGUCGGGAGAAGGAGUAGAAAUUUUUUUUGGUCUUCUGGUUUCUUCGAUGGAAUCGAAGAGGAAGACAAGGAAGAAUUAAAAUUGGGCCAGGUGGAGUUUGUAAAGUGGGCCUCAACUUUAACACUUCAAGCCCAGCUCAGCAAGGAACCUGCACAAAACCAAAGGAACGUUAGUUUCCUUUUGUCAAGAAUGUCGGUCAAUAUUUUCCCAAAGACAAUAGGAAAAUAUACAAAGUUACAGAGGACAAGGAAUACGUGAUCCAAUAUAAAAGGAGGCCAUAGGUGAAGGUUACAAUCAUCCGAUAAAAAAGCAAAUAACAAAGGCAUAGAGAGAGAUUAAGAGCAUAGCAAAUAAGUUCUUAGAGUUCUUAGUUUGGUUAUCACACUUGUGAUCUCUAUUAUUGUUAUUGUGAAACUUCUUUGAGAUAUUGAAUAAAGAAUACGUUUGAUUCAUAAAGUUAUUCUAAAGCACAAAGUUGGAUUCAAUUCCUAACACAUGAAAGUAGAUGAUGAUUACGUGGAGUAUGUUCCAGUGGCGAAGCGUAGAGCAAUGCAAGAGCGGAAGGGAAAGGUGAUGGAGGACAAGGAGAAGCUCGCACCUAGCUUACUCGUUAAAGCAACUCAGCAGCAGCUCAAGAGGAGGAGGAGGAGAGACGUUAGUGCCACGGAGCAAAUUAUAUUACAAGAGAAGGAGAUGAUGGAGCAUUUAUCUUGUGAUAAGAAGACGCUUAUGUCUGUCUGUUCGUGAAUUGGCCAAAGGUUGGGAACCACACCCUGGGAGCAUCAUGUCGAGCAAACAGAUUGAUUUGACUAGGAAGCAAUUUCAUAUUAUAGUUAGUGGCGAAGAUAUUCCUCCGCCCAUCAAGAAUUUCAACGAUAUGAACAUUCCGAGAGGUCUUGGCGUUACGCUCAAGGAGAAAGGGAUAGUGAAGCCAACUCCGAUCCAAGUUCAGGGUCUUCCUGUGAUUUUAUCAGGAAGAGAUAUGAUCGGGAUUGCCUCCACUGGAUCUGGAAAGACGUUGGUUUUCGUGCUUCCCAUGAUCAUGAUAGCUCUGCAGGAGGAGAUGGUGCGUCAAACAAGAAGCAAAGAUUGUCACCUCCUCGAGUGCCUGCAGAAUACUCUCGUCUCAUUCUUAUAUACGUUUGUAACAUGAGAAAAUUCAUGUGGACACAAGUUGUGUUAUUAGCAGCCUUAUUACUUAAAGAAUCCGGAUCUUGUAUAUGCACUGAGUUCUGGUUAACCCGAUAAGUUAGCCGGCCAAGAUAUGGUAAAACUGCUUGACGUGAUUAUUGAUUAAUACUGGUGCACCAAAUUUUUAAGCAAGUAGCUCAUAGAAGGAGGCUGAAGUUUCUCUUCCAUCUCCCACUCCAUCAACCAAUCCUGGAAUGGUGCGUUUUUCCAAAUCUACGACGCACCCUCAAAGUCCAUAGACACACCUUGGACGUUAGUGAAUCAGAUUAAUAGUGAUUUGAAAAUCUUGACACAUAGUUUUAAUUGAAAAGAAACCAAAUAAAUACAAGCUAUAGCUAGCUCUGUCUUAACUGUUGGACCUAACCUGAUGAGCACGUUGCAGCAUUACACGACCUUAGUGUUCACUAACCUUUUAAUUAAAACUAUUUCAACAUCUUAAAUUUAAAUACUUAAUGUAACUAUACAUUUUAACUUAAGAUAAUUGUAGUCAUUUAACUUAAGAAAAGUGUACUUUUCAAAAGAAAUAAAACACAAUGUAUUUUUUAAAAAUAAAAUCUAUUUGCAGAGUAUUUUUUUCAAAUUUAAUCUUGAAUACUCAAAAGGUAAUGAAUAGUCAACACCAUAUAAAAAAGUAGCUGAUGAUUAAUCUAAUCUAUAGAAAAAAUAUAUAUGCGUGGAUGUAUAGAUCAAACUUUAGUAUUGAUUUUAAUAACUAAGAAAAUGAAAAAGAAAAACUGUAUUAUUUUAAAAACUAAGAAAACGAAAAAUAAAAACUGUAUUCUUAAGACGGACAAAAAUUUAUUUUACAUAAAAGUUUUUGUUUGCUAGAAAUUUGAAAUAUUAAUAAAGUAGUGUUCUAUAAAAAGUAGGGUGGAAGAAUUCAAAUUGUCAUAGUUGGAUAGCUGAAAAUUAAGUAACUGAUGAUGAUGAUAAUAAUAAGAUGUAUAGAUAAGACUUAAAUCAUAAACUAAUAGGUCUGAAAGUCCUUCGGAGCUGCUUAACACAAGAUCAUCAUGAUGCUCAUGAACCUCAUGAACAAUGAUUGAGCCAAAACUUCAAAAUUUAGCCAAAAUAACAGAUGCCACAUUUCCUCGUGAACAAUGAUUGACCCAAAAUAUUUAAAAAUCCAAGUAAAAUAUAAAAAAUUUAAAAUUUAACAUAAAAUUUUAAUUAGUAUUUACAAAUCCGAAAAUUUUCUUUCGAAUUUGAGUUUUUGUAUUUUAACACAUAAAUUCAUAAAGAAUCUGAAUGUGCUCGUGAAAGAUGGAUACUUGUCUAAUAAAGAAGUGGAUAAACUAGAGUUUUGUGAGACCUGUGUUCUAGGAAAGUCUCACAAACAAAGUUUUCAAACGGCUAAACACACUUCAAAAGGCGUUUUGGAGUACAUACAUUCUGAUCUAUGGGGCGCGCCAUCAAGUCCUGAGAGUCUAGGAGGAUGCAAGUACUUUAUAAGCUUCAUAGAUGAUUAUUCUCGAAAGGUUUGGAUUUAUUUCCUAAAAUCUAAAGAUGAAGCUUUCAGCAAAUUCAAAGAAUGGAAGGAAGCCGUGGAGAACAGCACAGGGAAGAAAAUCAAGUGUCUUAGAACAGACAACGGGUUAGAGUUUUGCAAUAAACAGUUUGACAAACUAUGCAAAGAUUCUGGUAUCAAAAGACACAAGACUUGUCCAUACACGCCACAACAAAACGGUGUGUCUGAAAGAAUGAACAGGACAAUCAUGGAGAAGGUGAGAUGCAUGCUCGCAGAAUCUGGAUUAGGCAAAGACUUCUGGGCUGAAGCUGCAUCAACAGCGGUCUACAUUAUUAACCGAUCACCAAGUUCUGCCAUUGAUUACCGUUUACCAGAAGAAAUAUGGUCAGGUGUAAAACCUGAGUUGAAUCACUUAAGGAGUUUCUGCUGAUCUGCCUAUGUUCAUACGAUUCAGGGAAAGACAAGUCCUAGGGCCGUAAAAGGCGUCUUCGUAGGUUACCCAUUCGGGGUAAAAGGUUAUCGAGUGUGGCUGUCUGAAGAGAGAAUAUGUGUCACUAGUAGGAACAUAGUGUUUAAUGAGGAAGAGAUGUUUAAGCACACAGUGACCCAGCGAGAAGAUGUAGAUUUAGAAAAGAAGAAAAAGAAAGUGACGUUUAAGGAAAACCUAAUAGAUGGCCCUACACUACCUACGACUACAACCGAAGAACCAUUGGUUCAAGGUGGAGCUACUGAAACAGUAGAAUCAGAAAGCUCAUAAGAAACCAGUUCUGUAGAAGAAGAUAAAGACUCAGAAGCAGAACCGGAGCUCGAGGGAUAUAUGCUCGCACGAGACAGAGCGCGAAGACAAAUCAGACCUCCCUCUAGGUAUGAAGAUACUGAUUUUGCGGCUUAUGCUUUAGCCGCAUCUGAAGAGAUAGAAAUCGACGAGCCAAAGUCAUUUAAAGAAGCUAUGAUGAGCAAGAAAAGCAAGUUUUGGAAGAACGCUGCCGGAGAUGAGAUGGACUCUCUUCAAAGAGCUGGCACAUGGAUAUUGAUUGAAAACCCGAGAAUGCAAAAGUUAUAGGCAGCAAAUGGAUCUUCAAGUUGAAGCCUGGAAUACCCGGAGUUGAAGAACCAAGGUAUAAAGGAAGAUUGGUGGCGCAUGGAUUUUCUCAAAAGGAGGGGAUCGACUACAAUGAAGUGUUUUCACCUGUAGUGAAGCAUGUGUCGAUCAGAUUGAUGUUAUCUCUUGUGGUUAAUAAAGAUUAUGAGCUGGAGCAGAUGGACGUUAAAACAACUUUUCUUCAUGGAGAUUUGGAAGAAAGAAUCUUAAUGAAUCAGCCAGAAGGAUUCAUAAAGAAAGGAGAUGAAAAUAAAGUCUGUUUACUAAAGAAGUCUUUGUAUGGAUUGAAACAAUCUCCAAGGCAAUGGAAUCUCAAGUUUGAUUGUUUCAUGAAGAGCCAGCGGUUUGUAAGAAGCAAGGAAGAUCCUUGUGUUUACAUGAGAAACGUGAACACAGAACAAGCCGUGUACUUACUUCUAUACGUCGACGACAUGCUCAUAGCUUCGGGAGAUAAACAAGAAAUCAGAAGCGUCAAAGAGAGUUUAAGCAAAGAGUUUGAGAUGAAAGAUUUGGGAAAAGCUUCAAGAAUAUUAGGAAUGGACAUCAUAAGAGACAGAAAGAAGGGAAUUUUAAAACUGUCUCAAGAGAACUACUUGGAGAAGGUUCGGAAAUCAUUCAAUAUGACUGAAGCCAAGGCUGUGAAUACGCCUACCUUAACUCAAUUUAAACUGAAGAGUCUUACGAAAGAUCAAAAAGAAGAAGAAGGAAGCUUCAUGGCGGAUAUACCGUACGCAAGCGCGGUUGGUAGUAUAAUGUACGCCAUGGUCGGUUCAAGACCUGACUUAGGCUAUGCAGUUGGACUCAUUAGCCGUUUCAUGUCAGAACCGGGAAGAGAGCAUUGGCUUGCAGCAAAAUGGGUUUUACGAUAUCUUAAGGGUGCUACAAGAAGGUGUCUAACGUUUACUAAGCACUCAGAGUUUAGUGUUCAAGGAUUCUGUGACUCGGAUUAUGCUACUGACCUUGACCGAAGAAGAUCAGUUACAGGAUUCGUGUUUCAAGUUUGGGGAAACACGGUUAGCUGGAAAUCAAGUCUACAAGACGUGGUAGCUCUUUCAACGACUGAAGCAGAGUACAUGGCUCUUACUGCAGCCGCGAAAGAAGCUAUAUGGUUAAGAAGACUAUGUGGAGAGUUGGGGUUUGAACAAGAAAGUGUUAAGAUUCACUGUGAUUCACAAAGUGCUAUAGCCCUAGCAAAGAAUCAUGUUCAUCACGAAAGAACUAAACACAUAGACACUAAAUACCACUUCAUAAGAGACGUUGUAGCAGAAGGCAAGGUUCACCUAUCUAAGAUCCAUACUAGCAAGAAUCCUGCAGAUUUUCUAACUAAAGCCUUACCCGGGCCUAAGUUUGAUCUCUGCUGUGAUCUCCUCAACAUCAACGAGUAAAAACCGAAGAACAUCGCAGGUAACUCUAUUAUCGAAGAUGUCUCGCAAAAGGAAGAAAUAAUGAGUUAAUAACUCCGGAUUAUUUCUUAAAGCGAUAAUGGGAAGGCUUAGGAGAAGCAAAAGGUUAC
rnacentral:lncRNA from 1 species